rnacentral:rRNA from 1 species
CACGAUUAAGCGAGAAUACCCGCUGAACUUAAGCAUAUUAGUAAGCGGAGGAAAAGAAAACAACCGUGAUUCCCUUAGUAGCGGCGAGCGAACAUGGAAUAGCCCACGCUGAAUCUCUGAUCAUUAAUUUGAGCAGCGAAUUGUAGCGUAUGGGUAAUUAAUCUACUAAGUAUUAUGUUUACCAGUAAAGUUGUCUGGAACGGCAUGCCAAGGAGGGUGAUAGCCCCGUACCUGGCAUAAUACUUAGCAAGGCUAAUUACUCGAGAGUAGGACCGUUUGAGAAUGCAGUCUGAAAUGGGUGGUGAACUCCACCUAAGGCUAAAUACGGACACGAGACCGAUAGCACAAAAGUACCGUAAGGGAAAGGUGAAAAAGCACUCUGAAAAGAGAGUUAAAAGUGCUUGAAACCAACCGGGGGAAAAGGCUGAAGCAAUACCUCGUUACCGUUCAUCUCAUUAAGAUCAACAAGUCUCUAGUAGUCAUUCUACAUUUCAGGUAUGAAUGAUCUAGAGUAAGUUCUUAAGAGAUGAUACGCUACGUGCGAGGCUAUGUAGCUCUAUUAACGCUAAUCAAUGGCUGUAGAAUUGAUACCUCUAUAAACUUGGUUAGUUGGGCUAAGAGUAAUAGAGCUGCAUAUGCAGUGACUAAGGGAUACAACGCAUUAACUAGAGUACUUUCGAUUGUUUCUAGUUUUCUAUGUGUAGAUUAUUUCUAACCAUUUAUUAUAUGAUAUUCAAAUGUAGUUUUGUAUGAUUAGUCAAUGCACUCGUGGUAUUGAUUAAUUGUAGGAAAGUAUAUUUAAUGUUGUUAGUUAUGGUAUAAUAAUCUAGUAUCACCAGUUCUCGUGCGAGAUGGUAGCUUCAGUCCCGUCUUGAAACACGGACCAAGGAGACCUACUGCUACGCAAGUCGAAGGGUGAAAAACCCAGAGGCGAAGCGAAAGCGAAAGGUGCCAACUGUUCAUUAUCGGAAUAGUGCAGCACCGGCCUUCAUUUUUAUCCAUCUCGUAUGAUAAAAUGAUGAGCUAGAGCGUAGCGGCAAGGACCCGAAAGAUGGUGAGCUAUGCCUGAGCAGGAUGAAGCCAGGAGAAAUCCUGGUGGAGGUCCGUAGCGAUUCUGACGUGCAAAUCGAUCGUUAGACUCAGGUAUAGGGGCGAUAGACCAAUCGAACCAUCUAGUAGCUGGUUCCCUCCGAAAUAUCCCUCAGGAUCGCGGACAUCCUAUCGAUUGAUCAGUUUCAUUACGUAGGGAGAAUGAUUGGAGGUUUCGGGAACGCAAUGUUCUCGGCCUACUCUCAAACUUCGAAGUAGUGACACGAGUAUGUUUCGGGCGUAAAAUCAUUUAACUCUACAAAUCGUUAGUGAGUGAGUUUAGUGAGCAUACUCGGGAAUGAUCGAUGUCCAGUGGGCCAUUUUUGGUAAGCAGAACUGGCGAUCCGGGAUGAACCGAAAGUCGAGUUAAGGUGCCCAAAUGAGAUUUAAUUGAUACCAUUAAAGGUGUCGGUCAAUGUAGACAGCAGGGCGGUGGCCAUGGAAGUCGGCAUCCGCUAAGGAGUGUGUAUUAACUCACCUGCCCAAUUGACCGGUCCUGAAAAUGGAUGGCGCUUAAUAUUUCGACCGAUACUCGGCCGUUUGAGGUGACUACUCAAACGGGUAGGGGGGCACAACGGUAGCUGAGAAGGAUCAACGUGAGUUGGUCUGGAGCUGCCGUUGGAGCUGAUCUUGGUGGUAGUAGCAACUAUUCGGGUGGGAACCUCGAAGUCCGAGGUGGAGACGGGUUCCAUGUCAAUUGUAGUAAGACAUGGGUUAGUCGGUCCUAAGUGACUCCCGAAGGGGUUUAAAGACAGGCAUCGAGUUUAAACUGUCGGUCACGAAAGGGAACCAGGUUAAUAUUCCUGGACCAGAUAUCGGAAUUUUGGCUAGUUGUCCAAUAUCUAGAGCAUUUAAUGAUGAGCAUUUAAUCUUCAUUCAUUAAAUGUUUUUGAUGUAGGUUUGUAGAUUGGGAAACUGAUCUACUUUUAAACCACAUGUCAUAACGGAGUAACGCGACCGAACUGAGCGAUGUCGGACGUAGCCAGAGGAAGAGUUUUCUUUUCUUCAUAACGAAACUAAUGACCAUGGAAUCGGGUUAACGGGAGAUAUGGUUAUAUGUUCGGAAAGAGCGAUGUGUUUACUGCAUCGUCUUUGCGCUACUUACGACCCUUGAAAACUCGGAGAGUAAAAGUAUACGGCAGCCCAAUGAUCUGUAAAGGUUCAUUGGUCCACUAGUCGUAUAUCGUAGUUCCAUAUCUGACCGUACCGGUAUCCGCAUCAGGUCUCCGAGGUUUAUAGCCUCUGGAACGUUCGAAGAACGUUGGUAAGGGAAGUCGGCAAAUUCGAUCCGUACCUUCGGUAGAAGGAUUGGCUCUAAGGGUUGAGUUUCCCGGGCUGUUCAACCGAGUCAUUAAAUUAUAGGGUGAAGCGCUUGGAGUGGAUUGUUUCGGCAAUCUAUUCCUAGCAAACUGAUCUUAUAUUUGUGGUUUAUUGUUGGCAGCUUGUACCCUAUGUAAUCUAUUGCUAUUUUAAUAGUAGUAGUAGAUUACAGAAAGUACGUUACGGUGAAACAUAGCUCAACCAACUUAGAACUACUAUUAAGAGAGGGAAUCCGACUGUCUAAUUAAAACUUAGCAUUGCGAUGGCCGGCAACGGUGUUUACGCAAUGUGAUUCCUGCCCAGUGCUGUGAAUGUCAAUAUACUGACAUGUAUCUAAGCUCCGGUAAACGGCGGGAGUAACUAUGACUCUCUUAAGGUAGCCAAAUGCCUCGUCAUCUAAUUAGUGACGCGCAUGAAUGGAUCAACGAGAUUCCCACUGUCCCUACCGACGAUCGAGCGAACCCACAGCCAAGGGAACGGGCUUGGUUAGUGGUUCGGCGGGGAAAGAAGACCCUGUUGAGCUUGACUCUAGUCUGAAUCUGUUAGGACGCACGGGAGGUGUAGAAUAGGUGGGAGAAUCUUAUAUGUUGGUUGGUAACAACCAAUUGAUUGAUUCGAAAGUGAAAUACCACCACUUACGUUGCGUCUUAACUAAGCCGAUAAUGCAGGCUAUGUCGUACAUGGGGUUCGACUGGGUACAUUCUGUGGCUUAAUCGAGACCUAAUAUAACUUAGACUGAUCAAUCAACCAUUAAAAAGUAGAUUGGUCUGUUCGGUUAUAUUGCUAGAUUAAGUAAGCCCAACUCGUCCUGUGCAAUUAGGGAUAGUGCGAUCAGAAACCGUUUAUUCCUCUUUAAAAAGGAGUAAAAAGUCUAAUCAAUCGAUGACUUUGGUUUCUGAGAGCCUGGUUCGGUAAACGAUUUUGAUGGGGAGUUUGACUGGGGCGGUACGUCUGCGAAAGAGCAACGCAGACGACCAAAGACUAGCUCAUCGUGGACAGAAACCACGGGUAGAG